GAUGAACGCUAGCUACAGGCUUAACACAUGCAAGUCGCGGGGCAGCAUGGGGGUUGCUUGCAAUCCCCGAUGGCGACCGGCGCACGGGUGAGUAACGCGUAUCCAACCUGCCCUUCACCACGGGAUAACCCGGCGAAAGUCGGACUAAUACCGUAUGUUGUCCAUUGACGGCAUCCGAUUUGGACGAAAGGUUUGGCGGUGAAGGAUGGGGAUGCGUCCGAUUAGCUGGACGGCGGGGUGACGGCCCACCGGGGCGGCGAUCGGUAGGGGUUCUGAGAGGAAGGUCCCCCUCACUGGAACUGAGACACGGUCCAGACUCCUACGGGAGGCAGCAGUGAGGAAGAUUGGUCAAUGGGCGUAAGCCUGAACCAGCCAAGUAGCGUGCAGGAUGACGGCCCUAUGGGUGGUAAACUGCUUUUAUGCGGGGAUAAAGUGGCCCACGUGUGGGUUUUUGCAGGUACCGCAUGAAUAAGGACCGGCUAAUUCCGUG
rnacentral:rRNA from 1 species